rnacentral:tRNA from 1 species
UGUGGUAGAGCUCAGUGGGAGAGCAUUUGCCUAGUGUGCACGAGGUCUUGGGUUCCAUCCCCACUACUACCA